rnacentral:rRNA from 1 species
AACGUAGGAGACGAACGUUAUCCGGAGUUACUGGGCGUAAAGGGCGUGUAGGCGGUUUGUUAAGUCUGGCGUGAAAGCUCUCGGCUAAACCGGGAGAGGUCGUUGGAUACUGGCGAACUUGAGGAUGGUAGAGGCGUGUGGAAUUCCGGGUGUAGUGGUGAAAUGCGUAGAGAUCCGGAGGAACACCAGUGGCGAAGGCGACACGCUGGGCCAUACCUGACGCUAAAGCGCGACAGCAUGGGGAGCAAACGGG